GACGAACGCUGGCGGCGUGCUUAACACAUGCAAGUCGAACGAAGAGCGACGGAAGCUUGCUUCUAUCAAUCUUAGUGGCGAACGGGUGAGUAACGCGUAAUCAACCUGCCCUUCAGAGGGGGACAACAGUUGGAAACGACUGCUAAUACCGCAUACGAUCUAAUCUCGGCAUCGAGGAUAGAUGAAAGGUGGCCUCUACAUGUAAGCUAUCACUGAAGGAGGGGAUUGCGUCUGAUUAGCUAGUUGGAGGGGUAACGGCCCACCAAGGCGAUGAUCAGUAGCCGGUCUGAGAGGAUGAACGGCCACAUUGGGACUGAGACACGGCCCAGACUCCUACGGGAGGCAGCAGUGGGGAAUCUUCCGCAAUGGACGAAAGUCUGACGGAGCAACGCCGCGUGAGUGAUGACGGCCUUCGGGUUGUAAAGCU
rnacentral:rRNA from 1 species